GACGAACGCUUGCGGCGUGCUUAACACAUGCAAGUCGGACGGUAAGGCCCUUCGGGGUACACGAGUGGCGAACGGGUGAGUAACACGUGGGUGAUCUGCCCUGCACUUCGGGAUCAGCCUGAGAAACUGGGGCUAAUACCGGAUAGGACUCCUGCCUCCAUGCGUCGGGGUGGAAAGCUUUUGCGGUGUGGGAUGGGCCCGCGGCCUAGCAGCUUGUUUGUGGGGUAAGGGCCUACCAAGGCUACGACGGGUAGCCGGCCUGAGAGGGUGACCGGUCACACUGGGACUGAGAUACGGCCCAGACUCCUGCGGGAGGCAGCAGUGGGGAAUAUUGCACAAUGGGCGCAAGCCUGAUGCAGCGGCGCCGCGUGAGGGAUGACGGCCUUCGGGUUGUAAACCUCUUUCAGCUAUGACGAAGCGCAAGUGACGGUAGUAGCAGAAGAAGGACCGGCCAACUACGUGCCAGCAGCCGCCGCCG
rnacentral:rRNA from 1 species